UACGAGGGGGGCAAGUGUUGUCGGAAUCACUGGGCGUAAAGGGCUCGUAGGCGGCCAACUAAGUCGGAUGUGAAGUCCCCAGGCUCAACCCUGGGAACUGCAUCCGAUACUGGAUGGCUUGAAUCCGGGAGAGGGAUGCGAGAAUUCCAGGUGUAGCGGUGAAAUGCGUAGAUAUCAGGAGGAACACCGGUGGCGAAGGCGCUCAUCUGGCCCAAUACUGACGCUGAGGCGACGAAAGGCAUAGGGGAGCAAACAGGG
rnacentral:rRNA from 1 species